CUUCACCUCCUUAAAUUCUUCUUAGAUAAAAUGCAUUACAUGCCAGUGGAAUUGAGUCAAUACAAUUAGUCUAGCCUUUCUAACUAGUAGAAGCCUGUUUUAAAUCUCUCUUUUAUGAAACCAUCAUAAUGGAAAGGAGUUUUUUUACCUUGUGUUUUUUGGUGUUGGUCUACUCUGUUUCAAAUCAAUUCAGUCAGUGAAUAUUUAUUGAGAGCCUGUUGUGUUUUAAGCUUUUUUGUAGUGCCUGAGAAGAAAGCAAUGAGAACAAAAAUCUUUUUUCUUUGGGGCUUACGAACUGAUUAGGGGUGGAUUGGGCGGAGAUGUGGAGGUGGUGGUGGUGAGAAUGUAGUAGUAAGACUGUGAAUAAAUAUUAAAUAAAUCCUCUCUUAUUUAGUGUGGAGUUUUGAGCAGGAAGCUCUUUGAUCUUUAGUUUUCUCAUCUUUACCAUGGGUGUAAUGAUUCCUUUUCUACCUAGUUUGAAUUGUUUCCAGAAUCAAGUAGGAUAAAAAUUUGGUUACAUUGUACCUUUCCACAUUCCUGUGGUAAGUUAUUGUUACUACUAUUAGAAAAGGAAAAGGAACAUUGGGGGAAAGUUGUUUGUAAAGAAAAGACAGAAUGGCUGGAUUCUCUGUUCUGAGAGAACCUGAUGUCCCAUUGGUAAACCUUCUGUGACUGUUAGACACGUCUUCACCCAGGGCUACCAUAAGUCUUCAUGUAGGCCUUUUUAAACAGCACGAUCAAAUAAGACCGUUAUUCUUCUAUAUUGUUAACAGUUAUUAAUCUAACUGUCUUAAUGUCAGGUGCCAUGCCCUAGUCUACAUCCUUACUGCUUAGCACAUGGCUUAGGUAUUGCACUGGAACUUCAUAAAUGUUUGGUGAAUGAGUGAAUGAGUAACAAAAAUAGACAACAGUUGAGUGCCAAAAUGGAUCUUUUACUCAGCAGAUAUUUUUGUUUUGCCUAUCAUGUGCUUGGACUGGGGUUCUAUCCCAGCGGUACAAAGAUGUGAAGGUAUAGCUUCUGCCUUAAAGCUCACAACAUUACAGCACCUAGUAGUCUGGUGAGUGUUAAAUAGGGGUGUGCUGUAUUGAUGCGAUAAGGGACUGAAUGAUUCUGUUCUGGUAGACAGUGAAAGAAGGCAUUAGACAGGAAGUAAUUUUUUUUUUUUUUUUGUGCUUGUUCUGGAAGGAUUAAUAAGAAAAGUUACUGUUAAAAGUUAUUCCAGCCAGAGGGGGCAGUUUGAGCAUAGGAAUGGAGAUGCUAAAGUAUAAGGUGUGUGUCUGAUAUGGCUAAAGGUAAUUACAGUUGGUUUUUACUUUCUUUUUUUUUUUAAUUCAGAUACUCCUCUCCAUCUAGAAAAUUCGAGAAUAGCAAUAGAUUUUUCAUCCCAGAAAAAUGCAUAUGAGCAAGCAUAUGCACAUCAUUCUAGAAAGUUAUGCAGUUCUUAGGAAUCUCUGGACCAGUGGGACUGAGAGUUGAAAAGUGCAAUGGCUGGUGAAAGGAACAGUUGAUGGCUGGAUACUGAGAACGAUUCUGAAUGCUUGUUGAAGACUUCAGGCUAUGGGACUUCCCUGGUGGCUCAGUGGUUAGGGUUUAGCACUUUCGGUGCUGUGGCCUGGGUUCAAUCUCUGGUCAGGGAACUAAGAUCCUGAAAAUCGUGCAAAGGCUUGGCCAAAAAAAAAAAAAAAUGACGUUAGCCUUUAUGAUUAAUGAAUUGCUAAACCAUCAAAAGUUUAUUAGCAGGAAAUUGAUAUAAUCUGAUCUGUUUUGACAGGUAAUUGUUUGCUAUUUUCAGGAUAGUUUAGAGGGUUUAGGAGCAUAUUUAGAAUAAGUGCUAAAUAGGAGGUAGGAUUGAGGGCUUUUGUUUUUUUUCGGUUUUGUUUUGAUUUUAAAGGAUGAGAGAGACUUGACAUGCUUAAGGAAAAGAAAAGGAGCCAGCAGAGAAGCAGGUAUUGAAGUUCUACACACAAGAAAAGGAAGAGAAUAGAGAAACCUUGGGAAGAGAUAAAAUCAAAGCUCAUAGAGAGGUGAUCCUUGAAAAGGAAACAUGAAGAAAGGAUGGAAGAAGAUAUAUUUGGAAAUGAUCAAGGUGGAAGUUGAAUUUGGAGUGGGUUACCAACAGCUGAUUUUUAAUUCGUUACAAAAUUGUUUCUGUUUUUGGUUCUUUUUUUUUUUUUUUGGCUGAGAGACACCUGGGAUCUCAUCUCCCCAGCCAGGGAUUGAACCUGGACUCACUACACUGGAAGAAAAAGUCUUAACCACUGGACUGCCAGGGAAGUCUUCCCAUCAGCCUGUUUUGUACCCAGACAGUGAUCCCUCCAGGCUCCUCUGUCCGUGGGAUUCUCCAGGCAAGAAUACUAGAGUUGGCUGUCGUGCUCUCCUCCAAGGGAUCUUCCUGACUCAGAGAUGGAGCCCAUGUCUCGUGUGUCUCCUGCAUUGACAGGU
rnacentral:lncRNA from 1 species